rnacentral:rRNA from 1 species
GUGAGGAAUAUUGGUCAAUGGGCGGAAGCCUGAACCAGCCAAGUAGCGUGCAGGAUGACGGCCCUAUGGGUUGUAAACUGCUUUUAUGCGGGGAUAAAAGAAUUCACGUGUGGAUUUUUGCAGGUACCGCAUGAAUAAGGACCGGCUAAUUCCGUGCCAGCAGCCGCGGUAAUACGGAAGGUCCGGGCGUUAUCCGGAUUUAUUGGGUUUAAAGGGAGCGUAGGCCGCCCCUUAAGCGUGUUGUGAAAUGCGGGUGCUCAACAUCCGACUUGCAGCGCGAACUGGGGGGCUUGAGUGCGCCGAAAGUAGGCGGAAUUCGUGGUGUAGCGGUGAAAUGCUUAGAUAUCACGAAGAACUCCGAUUGCGAAGGCAGCUUACUGUAGCGCAACUGACGCUGAUGCUCGAAAGCGUGGGUAUCGAACAGG